CAGCAGCCGCGGUAAUACGUAGGGUGCAAGCGUUAAUCGGAAUUACUGGGCGUAAAGCGUGCGCAGGCGGUUAUGCAAGACAGAGGUGAAAUCCCCGGGCUCAACCUGGGAACUGCCUUUGUGACUGCAUGGCUAGAGUACGGUAGAGGGGGAUGGAAUUCCGCGUGUAGCAGUGAAAUGCGUAGAUAUGCGGAGGAACACCGAUGGCGAAGGCAAUCCCCUGGACCUGUACUGACGCUCAUGCACGAAAGCGUGGGGAGCAAACAGGAUUAGAUACCCUGGUAGUCCACGCCCUAAACGAUGUCAACUGGUUGUUGGGAGGGUUUCUUCUCAGUAACGUAGCUAACGCGUGAAGUUGACCGCCUGGGGAGUACGGCCGCAAGGUUGAAACUCAAAGGA
rnacentral:rRNA from 1 species